rnacentral:rRNA from 1 species
UAUUUAAAUUAUUAUAUUUUUUUUUUGUUUUAUUUUUGAUUUAAUAGAAAUAAUUUUAUUGUUUUAUUGUCUUAGUAUUUUUUAUAGAAAUGAUUAUGUUUAUAUAAUAGUUUAUUAGUGCAGUCAAACUAUAAAAAGUAUAAAACUAUAAAAAGUAGAUUUAAUUUUUUGUAUCUUUUGUAUCAGUGUUUAUCAAAAUUAUAUUUUUUAUUAAUUAAUCUCGAUUUAGGUUGAUUUACAAAUAAAUAAUUGUUAUUAUUUCAUGAAUAGUAUUUAUUUAUUUGUGGAAGUGAAAUGAUUAUUAAUGUUUUUAUUUAAUUUUUAAAUUUUAAAAUAUUAAUAUGUUUCUUCUUUAGGGGAUAAGCUCUAAAGUUAAUUUCCUAAAAUUUAUUAAUUAUAAUUAUAAUAAUAGGCUUUAAACCAGCAAUUUUUUAGAUUACGUUUUAGUUCAUUUUUAUUAUUUUGAUUUUUUAAUUUAUUUAGGUUUUAUAUUAAGAUGUUUAGUUUAAUUUUAAAGUUUUUGUAAUAAUGAUUUAAUUAGUAUAUUUAUUUUGUUUUUAUUUUUGAUUUUUGGUAACUUAUUAUAAGGAAUUAGGCAAAUUUAAUUUCCGCCUGUUUAUCAAAAACAUGUCUUCUUGAUAAUAUUUUGAAGUCUAACCUGCUCACUGAUAUUAUAUUAAAUAGCCGCGGUAUUUUGACCGUGCAAAGGUAGCAUAAUCAUUAGUCUUUUAAUUGUGGACUGGAAUGAAUGGUUUAACGAGAAAUUAACUGUCUCUUAAUAAUUUUUAGAAUUUAACUUUUGAGUUAAAAGGCUUAAAUUUUUCUUUAGGACGAGAAGACCCUAUAGAUCUUUACAUUUAAAUUUUUAUAUUUUUUUUAGUUAAUCUUUUUAUAUUAAAUUUUAAUGUUUUGUUGGGGUGACAUGAAGAAUAGUUAAACUCUUCAUUAUUAAAUCAUUUAUUUAUGAUUAUUUGAUCCAUAAUUUAUGAUCAUAAGAUUAAGUUACCUUAGGGAUAACAGCGUAAUUAUUAUUGAGAGUUCAUAUCGACAUAAUAGUUUGCGACCUCGAUGUUGGAUUAAGAUUAAUUUUAGGUGUAGUAGCUUAAAAAUUAGGUCUGUUCGACCUUUAGAUUCUUACAUGAUCUGAGUUCAGACCGGCGUAAGCCAGGUCGGUUUCUAUCCUAAGAAUAUUUAAUUCAUAUUAGUACGAAAGGACCAUAUGAUUGAAAUAUUUUUUAUUUUUAGAUUAAAAUUAAUUUUUU